AAGUACAGAUCCAUCGGAGAAGAGACAUUGAGAAACAAUGACUUCGAGGUAUUGGGUGGUGUCUCUACCAGUGAAGGACUCUUCUUCCACGUUAUGGAAUCGUCUCCAGGAGCAGAUCUCCAAGCAUUCCUUUGACACUCCAGUUUAUCGGUUCAACAUUCCUAACCUUCGAGUUGGAACGUUAGAUUCUCUGCUAGCCCUCGGCGAUGAUCUGCUCAAGUCAAACAGCUUUGUGGAAGGAGUUUCGCAGAAGAUCAGGAGACAGAUCGAGGAAUUGGAGAGGAUCUCUGGUGUGGAGAGCAACGCUCUUACUGUUGAUGGAGUUCCCGUUGAUUCUUAUCUCACAAGGUUUGUUUGGGAUGAAGCUAAGUACCCAACGAUGUCACCUUUGAAGGAGGUUGUGGAGAAUAUUCAGUCUCAGGUUGCCAAGAUUGAGGAUGAUCUCAAGGUUCGUGUUGCUGAAUAUAAUAAUGUCCGCGGUCAACUCAAUGCCAUUAACCGAAAGCAAAGUGGAAGCUUAGCUGUUCGCGACCUCUCAAGCUUGGUUAAGCCAGAAGAUAUUGUCGCAUCAGAACAUCUCGAGACUCUUCUUGCAGUUGUUCCAAAGUAUUCCCAAAAAGACUGGCUAGCGUGUUAUGAGACAUUGACCGACUUUGUGGUUCCUAGGUCUUCGAAGAAAUUGUUUGAGGAUAAUGAAUAUGCUCUUUACACCGUCACUCUCUUCACUCGUGUUGCAGAUAAUUUCAGGACAAAUGCACGUGAGAAAGGGUUCCAAGUCCGUGAUUUUGAACACAGCGUUGAAGCACAAGAGACUCGUAAACAAGAGCUAGAGAAGCUGGUUCAGGAUCAGGAAAAUUUGAGAAGCUCUCUUUUGCAGUGGUGCUACACUAGUUAUGGAGAGGUUUUCAGCUCAUGGAUGCAUUUCUGUGCUGUGCGUAUAUUCGCUGAGAGCAUAAUGAGAUAUGGUUUACCUCCGGCGUUCUUGGCAUGUGUCUUAUCUCCGGCUGUUAAAAGCGAGAAGAAAGUACGCUCCAUUCUUGAACGCUUGUGCGAUUCUACCAACAGUUUAUACUGGAAAAGCGAGGAGGAUGCAGGAGCCAUGGCUGGUUUAGCCGGUGACUCCGAGACACAUCCUUAUGUCUCCUUCACGAUCAACCUUGCGUAGAAUUGAUGAGAGAUGCUUUAUGCUUCUUCUACAUCUCACACUUAUAUUUGUGUAUGUUCUAUAUAUAUAUAUUCCAUUUUAUUAUUCGUGAUAAUUUUUCGAAAUAAAAGAAAUAAAUAUGAAGGUGGCACUCAAGAGAGACAUGUGAAUGUAAUUUUAUUUUGGCCGGAGCCUUUGUAGACUCCGAUGACUGAUACUUGUGGAAGAAGAGAGUAUAACUACUACCGGUGAUGAAAUUACACACCUGACGAAGUGGCUAUUGAACCAAAGUGGAACAUUGCACAAUUACCUAACGUGGCUUGCAGCAACUGUGAUGACUACAGAGACCUAGAUAUACGCAGCGACCCAGCUCUCUUAACAGAGAAACAAUGGUCAUGUCCGGAUCCACAAUGUGGGAAGAUAUAUGACGGAGAGCAGAUGGAGAAUAGGCUUGUCCAGAUCGUGAGACAGAGUGAGAAAAUGUACCAGAUUCAGGAUCUAUUGUGCAAUCAGGUGAAAGCAGCUCAUCUGACGGAGCAGUGUGAGUGUGCUGGAUCCUUUAGAUGCAAAGAGAGUGGUUCGGAUUUCCUCAAGCGGAUGGAGGUUUUCUUGGAUAUUAUUAGUUGAGUUCGAGGUCAACGAAGAAGAAGAAGCUCCAAAUGGAAAAUGAUUCUUGUUAUUAUAUCUUUCUGUUACAAGUUGCUUUAUAUAGCAACGGUCAUCCGGUUUACAAUAAACCAAAAUCUAAUAAACUCUAUAACCGGUUUAUAUCAACCCGAAUUGAAUCAUGUAUGUUAAUAUUC